CUCAACGGCUUUGAACCGAUCUUUGAUUUCCUCCAGUUCCUUCAUCACAGCAAUAGAGGGGUUAGACUUACUUACCUUUGGGAGUUCAUAUUUUGCACGGGCAGAAUCGUUCUUGUACCAUUCAUCUUCAACCAAAACAUAGCCCAUACUGACAAAAGUUUUGGAGUCAUAAGUAGCCACAACUUCCACUAAAGGGUAAGUAGAGAGAUCAAUUGUGUAAUACAGAAGAAUCCAAGUAAUGAGCAGGCCAUACGGUAAACUGGCGAAAGCAUGAACAUCUGUUGCACUCUCAAGCAUGUACUCAUGAAUCCAAGUUGCACAAUUUAUUUUGGUCUUCUUAACCAGACAGUAUAGCACAAAAAAUCAUGAUAAGUGAUGUUUCUUAGAGAUCUUUUUCGGUGAAUCAGAGUGGUGGAAACAAUAUAAGCCAUAAUGUGAUAUUUGAAUCAGAGAGACAGGGACCAAAGCUAGAUGGUACAGAUUCAGAAUUAGACAAAAACUUUUUGGGUUCCUCUAAGCGCACUUUAAAGUCCUCAAGCCAGUUAUUAUUCAUAAAGGCACUACACCGGAGAAUUUAGUAUCAAAAACUUUCUUGAAUAGAAAGUUGUUCAAGAAAAUUCUUGUGUUGAGCACAAGAGUCUCAAACUCCCCACUAUCUGGGAAAAUUCUGAAAUUGGUGUAGAACAUGUUCAAAUGGACUUUGAAUUUUUUAUUCUUAGUACUCUAUUCUAUUUCUUUAUAUUUUUUGUUUGACCCACGGUUCAGUCCAGUCCAUAUUACUCAAACCCACGGACCAACGGGAUUAUACGGGCCGAGCUAAAAAGUCUUGUUCUCAAACGAGUUGUAAAAGUCUUAGCCCAUCCCUAUAAAAUUACAGGUUGGAUUGGGUCUGACCUAUAUUGACGGCUCUAGUUAAAAGAAUGAAUUCUAGGUUUUACUUAAUUCGUUCUAAGUACUUACAUGAUUACUCUUUCUUAACAUUUUCAUAUAUUAGCAACAUGUAGUUUGAAGUUCACAUAAAAAUUGGAUUGUGACUUUGUAUCUUCCAUAAAAUAGUCAAGUUAUGACCUGUUUUUAAUUGAGUUUUAAAAUGAAUUGUAAUAAGUUAGAAUGAAAUUAAUAGAAAUUAAUAAACAGAAAGAUCAUUAAUAGAAAUUAUUGCAAAGUACAUAUAAUAUGUACCAUUAUUGAAACAAAAUAACAAAAAUGGAAGAUGAAAGCAUACUUAAAUAGAGUGAAUCUAUAUAUAUACUCACUUCAUUAUAUAGAACUUCGAUAAAUAAUAUUAUACGAAGAUAGUUUAUUUAAUUCAUUUAAGAAGCAGUAAACUAGAUAUCUGCAUCUUUUGAUGGAGAUUGUGAGGAGGACGAAGCUUCAGCUAAUUGAUCCUUCAACAAAAUUUCUCCACUAUCCAACCAAGCUUGAAACUUCAUUACAUCAUCUGCAUUUAAAUGAUCAAUGGACUCCCAUCGACCUUUAUCUCUAGUCUUAUUCCUUUGGGAUAAGAAAAGGAAUUUAUCUUUUGCAACUUCUUCUCUUUCAUCAAGUUCAUUUAGCCUAUCAUUAAUUGAUUCACUUUGUGAAUUUUCAUCAACAAUUUGUUCACCUAAAUCUGUUUUCAAAUUCAUAAAACGAUCAAUGAUUGCAUUUUGUGUUGGGUGGACAAAAUCAACUGGUGAAGAUAGAAAGAUUCCAAGAUCUACAUCAUUUUCUCUAACGAGUUUGCUAGCUUUUUUAUAUAAGCCGGAACGUCGUUUAGAGAAUGUGGAAUAUCGAUUAGCAUUUUUUUCUAUCCUCACCAAUGGAAUUUUUCAGCGUCCUAUUGUUUUCUUACGCUCCAUGAAGAAAUAUGACUUACAAAAAAAAAUGAAUUAUGAUGAAUAUUUAUAUACAUAUUAUUCAUAAUGAUCAUUAAAUUUCUAUCCAAAUAUCACAAUGGAAAGUAAUCUUUUCUUCUUGAAAAUUAUAGUAGAAAAUUUUUAUUCAACUUGAUACUCAUAAUCUGAGUUUUAUAGUAACAUCAAUGUGAAAUUCAAGGGGGAUGAAUAAAAAAUUUGUGAGUCGACUAUUGACUCCUCACAGUCGACAUACCUACCGAUCAGUAUACUUCACAAAAUAGAUUAGAAUUAAAACAAAUAGACAAGUAAAUAAUUAACUUUAAACAGAAGAUACGAAGAUUUAUCCCAGUUUGGAAAACCAAUGUGCUUUCUACUUCCAGUCCCAUUGGGUUUCAAUAUUUUUUUAGAUCUUUCAAUGUUGGGCUCGAGUACAAUGAUGAGAAACAAGUUCCGAAGACUUAAUUUGUUCUUCGGAUCUUGUGACAUAACUUCAGCUUGUAUUAGAAAGUUGACUCGAUCCUAUUCUUUAUACAACUAUUGUAAACUAAGGAUUACAAAGCUUUGUGAGACUAAGAUUGAGGCACUUUGAGAUUUCUCCUUGAAGUUGUGUAUCUUCUUUCUUCCAUUUUGGCCUUUUUAGUCUUCUGUUGUAUAUGCUUCUUUUCUUCAUAAGAAAACCCAAGAGAUUUCUUCUCAAUCAAGGAAUUAAGUUGAUUUCUUGAUUGAGGGAAUUUGCACUUUUUGGUAUGUCCAUAUCAGAUAUGUCCAUACUUGGUGCGAUUUUUCUUUCUCACAUAUGUACAUGUCCAUAUCAGAUAUGUCUAUGUAGGAGGUGAGAUCUUCUUUCUCCUUUUUUUAUUGCCGUGAGGUGCAUUCAAUUGCCUUGUUCACUGAGAUCUUUAGUUGAUAUGAUUUUUGUUGCCUUGUCAAAUGAUAUCCUACUUUGGUGUGGCUCCAAAUUUAACACGAUCUUCUUUGAGAUAUAAUCUCCCAUUAUUUGAGUUCUUCAAUGUCUUUUGUGUGAGAUCUCCUUCCAUCAUUAGGUAUCUUUAAUAUCCUGCAAAUUUCACUUAUUAGUUUAUCAUUAUUAAAACAUAAAACAUAAAUAUCGGAGGCUAACAAUCUCUCCCUUUUUUAUAAUGACAAAUAAUCAUUUAAAAAUCAGUUGACUUCCCUGUUAUAGUAGUAGACUUGCUCCUUUGACUCUUAUCCAUUGAUAGUCGACUUGCUCCCCUUGAAUUUAAGCAUUGAUAGUCGACUUGCCCCCCCUGACUUUAAGCCCAUUUGAUGUUCCUAUUUUUCUCCCUCUUUUGGCAUAAUUAAAAAAAAUACAUGAAAUCAUACAUCCAAAAAGAAUAUGCACAUAGCAACGAAAUUAACAGAUUAAUUACCAAGAACUCAGGCAAAAACAAGGAAGUGUGGUAGAAAUUAUUUGUAGAAAACAUCUUACAACCCAACAAAAAUAAGGGACAGGACCCCCUUUUGAUUAAACAGUCAUUAUUCACUGCUUAGCUAGAAAAUAUGUUAGGUUAUUAUGCAUGUUAUAGCAUAAUUUGUCAUUGAAUUUCUCAACAUUUUUAAAGAACAAGGAAAAGGAGUUCUAAACAGAAACAACAAGAUUGUCAUUAGAGGAGGUGACUUGGGACUUGAGGGAGUCCAUGCGAGUGAACACUCGAGUAAACAACUUGAUGCCUUCCUGUUUCAACCCAUCGAGUGCCAGCCAAACCACACUCAUGUCAGUGCUGGUGCUUGUUCCAAGGUCCAUAAGUUUGGAAGUCGACUCCUGGAGCAGCAUAAUACCUUCCUCAACGGCUUUGAACCGAUCUUUGAUUUCCUCCAUUUGCUUUAUCACAACAAUAGAGGGGUUAGAAAUAAACUUACUUACUUUUGGGAGUUCAAAUUUUGUGCGGGCAGAAUCCUUCUUGCACCAUUCAUCUUCAACCAAAACAUAGCCCAUACUGGCAAAAUUUUUAGAGUCAAUAAGUAGCCACAACUUUCACUGAAGGGUAAGCAUAGAGAUUAAUUGAGUAAUACAAAAGAAUCCAAGUAAUGAGUUGGCCAUACGGUAAAUUGGCGAAAGCAUAAACAAUUAUUGCACUCUCAAGCAUGUACUCAUGAAUCCAGGUUGCCCAAUUGAUUUUGAGUUUCUUAAUCAGACAAUACAACACAA
rnacentral:lncRNA from 1 species